UAGAACUGUUGCCUCUUUUCUUUAAGGGUAAGCACGGCUCUGUGAGAACUGUUAAAUCAGCAAGCGGCCAGAUAACCGUUGGGAUAGAUCCACAGGUGAAACAGAUGUUUCUCUGUUUUCAGCUACUAAAUCUAUAUUACACAA